GACGGAGGGGGCAAGCGUUGUCCGGAAUUACUGGGCGUAAAGGGCGCGUAGGCGGUCGCCUACGGCGGUGGUGAAAGCUCCCGGCUCAACUGGGAGAGGCCCAUCGCAACGGGGCGACUGGAGGGUGGUAGAGGCAGACGGAAUUCCUGGUGUAGCGGUGAAAUGCGUAGAGAUCAGGAGGAACACCCGUGGCGAAGGCGGUCUGCUGGGCCACGCCUGACGCUGAGGCGCGAAAGCCAGGGGAG
rnacentral:rRNA from 1 species